rnacentral:lncRNA from 1 species
UCAGGUCCGAGGGAUCUAAGGAAUUUAAGAAUAAUACAGGAAAAUAACUACAUCAGACAAAUAAGAAAUACGGGAAUCGCUCUAAUAAAUUAUAUACAUACUUGAUUUCUAUAAAUAAUCUAAUUUCUACCGAAAUUUCGGCAGCACCUCUCCUAAAAAAUAGACUAUUCGCUUGCUAAAACAUCAACUUAUCAUAUAUUUAUCCAAUCCAUACCGCCUAUCCGUCGGGCAAUCAAUCAAGUCAAAUUUUCCAUCCUCCUUCAAUCACAACGUCACCACUCAACAAUAAUUUUAUAAUUACAAUAAUAUUGCAUCUAAACUAGCUUAAUCCGCACUUUAAUUCCAUUAAUAUAUCAUUAUCAAGGUUCCUCAAAUAAAUGAACACUAAUGAAAUAUAUGUUGGAAUAUAAUCAAUGCAAAACUAAAUUAGCUAACCACGAAUACUAAAAAUCUACAAAUUUAUGAAAAUAUCCCAAGAUUAAUUUAUAUACCCAAAAUAAUGCUGCUGGAAUUUACUUGGCCGGAGACGGAAGCUGUGCACGCCGAAACAAAGAGAAAGAGGGAGAACAGUCACUAAGUUGACCAAGUCGGGGGUUAUGCUCACAAGAACUGCAAGCAGAUGAAACGCGACUUCAAGCGUUGGUGGUCAACGGUGGAGGUCGUGAAGAGCGACAGAUCGAGGCGAGGUCGCAGUCCUUCCUACGACUGUCCUCCUCGCUGGGUUCUAAUGGAAAGAGGGAUGGUGCUUGCGGAGCUGCUGCGACGAGGAGCGGCGGAGGGGUGGCACGCGAGGGAGGUCUGCUCCGAUCUGUGGAGUUGCGAACUGGUUACAGCUCCAACUCUCGCCAGAAACAAAAAUGUAGAGGAAAGAAAGAAAGAAAGAAAGCAAGAAAAAGAAUAAGAAGAGGAGGGGAGAGACGGCGGGGGCAGGGGAGGAUGUGGGUCGCGGGUGACUGGAACAUGCAGAAUGGGGAAGGGGAGAGUGAGCGUUGGAAAAUAAGGGAAGAGAGGAGAGUUCUAGAAGUGGUUUUGGGUGAAUUUGGGCUGAUUCGGUUCAAUUCAAGUUUGGUUUGGUCCAAAUCAUGGUUUUGAUUUGAUUUUUGAUUUUUC